GACGAACGCUGGCGGCGUGCUUAACACAUGCAAGUCGAACGGAAAGGCCCUGCUUUCGUGGGGUGCUCGAGUGGCGAACGGGUGAGUAACACGUGAGUAACCUGCCCUUGACUUUGGGAUAACUUCAGGAAACUGGGGCUAAUACCGGAUAGGAUCUCCUGCUGCAUGGUGGGGGUUGGAAAGUUUCGGCGGUUGGGGAUGGACUCGCGGCUUAUCAGCUUGUUGGUGGGGUAGUGGCUUACCAAGGCUUUGACGGGUAGCCGGCCUGAGAGGGUGACCGGCCACAUUGGGACUGAGAUACGGCCCAGACUCCUACGGGAGGCAGCAGUGGGGAAUAUUGCACAAUGGGAGGAAGCAUGUUGCAGAAACGCCGCGUGCGGGAUGACGGCCUUCGGGUUGUAAACCGCUUUCGCCUGAGACGAAGCGUGAGUGACGGUAAUGAGUAAAGAAGCACCGGCUAACUACGUG
rnacentral:rRNA from 1 species